rnacentral:rRNA from 1 species
UACGUAGGUGGCAAGCGUUGUCCGGAAUUAUUGGGCGUAAAGCGUGCGCAGGCGGUUUUGUAAGCCAGGUGUGAAAUCCCCGGGCUCAACCUGGGAAUGGCAUUUGGGACUGCAAGGCUGGAGUGCGGCAGAGGAGACUGGAAUUCCUGGUGUAGCAGUGAAAUGCGUAGAUAUCAGGAGGAACACCGAUGGCGAAGGCAGGUCUCUGGGCUGACACUGACGCUCAUGCACGAAAGCGUGGGGAGCAAACAGGAUUAGAGU